rnacentral:lncRNA from 1 species
UUGAGGAGAAUUUGUGGUUAAAAAGUAAGGAAAAGUUUUGGUUUACGUGUAGAAUAUUUUAUUAUGUGAAUGUGCGAUUACAAACGAAUAUAUAGAAAAAAGAGUUUUUAAAUAAUGGUUAUCAAACAGGGGCUAAAUUCCAGCCCCUGUGUUGUAAAUUUUUGGAUCGUCCUUUGCUUUGAGGUAAACUAUAUCGUUCUUCUUCACCUUGAAGAAGCUAAUAUGGGCUUCUAAUAUUGGUUCUUUGGAAUUGUAGGCAAUUUUGCUUUUCUAGGUUUUAAGUUUAUUCUGCAUUUUGACUUUCCUUUCCUUCCUUGAUGAAUUGAAUUCUUGUAAUUUAACCAUGAGUCUUGGGGACUUAAUAAACAGGCCCAUUUAGAUUUGCAUGUUUAUGGGAUUUAUUUUCUCUUAAAAUCUUGAACUUGAAGUUUUUAUAGAAGCACCUUUAUCCUUAAUGUAACUUUGAUCAGCCUAGUGGAGAAUGUGAUAGAUAUUAUUCGCCCUUGGAUUUCAAAUUAUAAGCAGUGAUUCUGUUUUAUAUCUAGUCUCAAUAGUCUGGUAGUGAUUAUGUUUCUUGAGUCUACUUAUGGCUGAUGGAUAUAACUAUUAUUAGUUGAUGAAUAUUGACUUUCGGAUGAAUUCACCCUUCUUAGUUGAUUUUAUGGUUUGUCUGUACGUGGUAACAUAACAAAGGGCUUGAUGUUUUUAUCGUUAUCUAAAGGUUCUGGGUGGUGUAUGGCUCUAACGAUAUGUGCUUCCUAUGUUAGAGAAAUCAGGGAUUUUAGAUGAAACAAAGGCUUUUGGGAAGUGG